rnacentral:rRNA from 1 species
AAACCUGCGAAACUCGAAUGAACGAACGGAGAGAUUCAUCGUCAUUCGACGGCGUACGGGCGCGUUCCUCGAUGCUGCACGCCUCCCUUACGGGUCGUUCGUGCGGCACGGGUCGCGUCCGUCGACGUUCGUCGACGGCGUGCACUUCUCUCUUAGUAAUACAUCGCGACCCGUUCGACGUCGGCCUAAGCGCCGUCCGGGAGUCCUUGCGCAUCGUUCACGCGACGCGUUAGGACCGUGACGGACGCCGGCCGGCUAUCGGACGGUAAUACGAUAUUUAUCGAUUUACGAAUCGCGCACGCGUCUUUAGCGCGUCCGGCCCGACGCAAGCGAACGUCGUACGCCGAUGUCCUGCCCGAGUGCGGACGUCGACGCGGCGCUGCUGUUGUCGCCGCCGUGCUGUCUCGGACUGUGCGCGUCUCUGUCUGCGAUGAUUC